rnacentral:ncRNA from 1 species
UGAUACUUGUCGGAGUGCCAUUUGGCUGAGACGCGAAAGCGGGAUCCGUUGAACCUGAUCAGGCUAAUACCUGCGAAGGGAACAAGAGAAAAUGUGUU